rnacentral:rRNA from 1 species
UAUGUAGGGGGCAAGCGUUGUCCGGAAUCAUUGGGCGUAAAGAGCGCGUAGGCGGCCCUGUAAGUCCGCUGUGAAAGUCAAGGGCUCAACCCUUGAAUGCCGGUGGAUACUGCAGGGCUAGAGUCCGGAAGAGGCGAGUGGAAUUCCUGGUGUAGCGGUGAAAUGCGCAGAUAUCAGGAGGAACACCAGUGGCGAAGGCGGCUUCCUGGACCUGUUCUGACGCUGAGGAGCGAAAGCGUGGGGAGCGAUCCGG